UACAGAGGUCUCAAGCGUUGUUCGGAUUCAUUGGGCGUAAAGGGUGUGUAGGUGGCGCCGUAAGUCGGGUGUGAAAUUUCGGAGCUUAACUCCGAAACUGCAUUCGAUACUGCGGUGCUUGAGGACUGGAGAGGAGACUGGAAUUCAUGGUGUAGCAGUGAAAUGCGUAGAGAUCAUGAGGAAGACCAGUGGCGAAGGCGGGUCUCUGGACAGUUCCUGACGCUGAGGCACGAAAGGCCAGGGGGAGCAAAACGGGG
rnacentral:rRNA from 1 species